GACGAACGCUGGCGGCGUGCUUAAUACAUGCAAGUAGAACAGUUGCGAACGGGUGAGUAACGCGUAGGUAACUGCCUCAUAGAGGGGGAUAACUAUUGGAAACGAUAGCUAAUACCGCAUACUGUGAGAUGGACCUGCGUUGUAUUAGCUAGUUGUUGAGGUAAAGGCUCACCAAGGCGACGAUACAUAGCCGACCUGAGAGGGCGAUCGGCCGCACUGGGACUGAGACACGGCCCAGACGCCUACGGGAGGCGGCAGUAGGGCAUCUUCGGCAAUGGACGGGAGUCUGUGCGAGCUACGCCGCGUGAGUGAAGAGGGUUUUCGGGUCGUAAAGCUCUGUUUUUAGAUAAGCGGUAACUAUCCAGAAAGGGCCGGCUAACUACGUGCCAGCCGCCGCGGUAGUAC
rnacentral:rRNA from 1 species